UACGUAGGGUGCGAGCGUUGCCCGGAUUUAUUGGGCGUAAAGGGCGCGUAGGCGGCCACGCACGUCCGUUGUGAAAUCGCCCGGCUCAACUGGGCGGGGUCAGCGGAUACGGUGUGGCUAGAGCAAGCUAGGGGGCAAUGGAAUUCCCGGUGUAGUGGUGGAAUGCGUAGAUAUCGGGAGGAACACCAGUGGCGAAGGCGGUUGCCUGGAGCUUUGCUGACGCUGAUGCGCGAAAGCGUGGGGAGCGAACAGG
rnacentral:rRNA from 1 species